UACGAACGCUGGCGGCGUGCUUAACACAUGCAAGUCGAACGGAAAGGCCCUGCUUUUGUGGGGUGCUCGAGUGGCGAACGGGUGAGUAACACGUGAGUAACCUGCCCAUUCCUUUGGGAUAACUUCAGGUAACUGUGGCUAAUACCGGAUAUGAGCUCCUGCUGCAUGGUGUGGGUAGGAAAGUUUCGGCGGUUGGGGAUGGACUCGGGACGUUGUAGCUUGUUGGUGGGGUAGUGGCUUACAAAGGCUUUGAGGGCUGGCCGGCCUGGGCGGGGGACCGGCCACUUUGGGACUGAUAUACGGCCAAAACUCCUACGGGAGACAGAAUUGGGAAAUAUUGAACAAUGGGCGAAAGCCUGAGGCAGCAACGCCGGUUGCGGGAGAAGGGCCUUCGGGUUGUAACCCGCUUUCGCCUGUGACGAAGCGUGAGUGACGGUAAUGGGUAAAGAAGCACCGGCUAACUACGUG
rnacentral:rRNA from 1 species